UGGGGAAUAUUGCACAAUGGGGGAAACCCUGAUGCAGCGACGCCGCGUGAGCGAAGAAGGUUUUCGAAUCGUAAAGCUCUGUCCUAUGAGAAGAUAAUGACGGUAUCAUAGGAGGAAGCCCCGGCUAAAUACGUGCCAGCAGCCGCGGUAAUACGUAUGGGGCGAGCGUUGUCCGGAAUUAUUGGGCGUAAAGGGUACGUAGGCGGUCUAUUAAGUCAGGUGUGAAAGCGUGAGGCUUAACCUCAUUAAGCACUUGAAACUGAUAGACUUGAGUGAAGGAGAGGAAAGUGGAAUUCCUAGUGUAGCGGUGAAAUGCGUAGAUAUUAGGAGGAAUACCGGUGGCGAAGGCGGCCUUCUGGGCCAUAACUGACGCUGAGGAGCGAAAGCUAGGGGAGCGAACAGG
rnacentral:rRNA from 1 species